rnacentral:rRNA from 1 species
GACGAACGCUGGCGGCGUGCUUAACACAUGCAAGUCGAACGGAAAGGCCCUGCUCUUGUGGGUCGCUCGAGUGGCGAACGGGUGAGUAACACGUGAGUAACCUGCCCCUGUCUUUGGGAUAACUUCAGGAAACAGGGGCUCAUACAGGAUAGGAGCUCCUGCUGCAUGGUGGGGGUUGGAAAGAUUCGGCGGUUGGGGAUGGACUCGCGGCUUAUCAGCUUGUUGGUGGGGUAGUGGCUUACCAAGGCUUUGACGGGUAGCCGGCCUGAGAGGGUGACCGGCCACAUUGGGACUGAGAUACGGCGCAGACGCCUACGGGAGGCAGCAGUGGGGAAUAUUGCACAAUGGGCGGAAGCCUGAUGCAGAAACGCCGCGUGCGGGAUGACGGCCUUCGGGUUGUAAACCGCUUUCGCCUGUGACGAAGCGUGAGUGACGGUAAUGGGUAAAGAAGCACCGGCUAACUACGUG